rnacentral:snRNA from 1 species
AUUGCUUCUCGGUCUUUUGGCUAAAAUCAAGUGUGGUAUCUCUUUUUAUCAGUUUAAUAUCUGAUAUGUCCUCUAUCCAAGGGCAUUAUAUUAAACUAGAGGCCUGAUGCACAAAAU